rnacentral:rRNA from 1 species
GACGAACGCUGGCGGCGUGCUUAACACAUGCAAGUCGAACGGAAAGGCCCUGCUUUUGUGGGGUGCUCGAGUGGCGAACGGGUGAGUAACACGUGAGUAACCUGCCCUUGACUUUGGGAUAACUUCAGGAAACUGGGGCUAAUACCGGAUAGGAGCUCCUGCUGCAUGGUGGGGGUUGGAAAGUUUCGGCGGUUGGGGAUGGACUCGCGGCUUAUCAGCUUGUUGGUGGGGUAGUGGUUGACCAAGGCUUUGAAGGGUAGCCGGCCCGAGAGGUUGACCGGCCACAAUGGGACUGAGAGACGGACCAGACUCCUACGGGAGGCAGCAGUGGGGAAUAUUGCACAAUGGGCGGAAGCCUGAUGCAGCAACGCCGCGUGCGGGAUGACGGCCUUCGGGUUGUAAACCGCUUUCGCCUGUGACGAAGCGUGAGUGACGGUAAUGGGUAAAGAAGCACCGGCUAACUACGUG